GAUUUAUAAAGAAGUGGCGAGAGAUCAGGCUCAUUAACCCACUGGCAACCCUCCGGAACGGAGAAGGUGCCAAAUCCUGGCCCGGUGAAUGGAUCAUCGGGGAAUAUAAAUG
rnacentral:ncRNA from 2 species